GUCAAUCUUGCCAAAAGAGGAAAUCUUCCUGGUGCGGAAAAUCUGGUUGUCCAGCGUUUCCAAGAACUUUUUGCUCAAACAAAGUACAAAGAAGCUGCUGAAUUGGCUGCUGAGUCUCCUCAAGGAAUCCUCCGCACACCAGAUACUGUUGCAAAAUUUCAGAGUGUACCCGUGCAAACUGGUCAAACACCACCUCUACUGCAGUAUUUUGGAACUUUGUUAACGAGAGGAAAGCUCAAUGCAUUUGAGUCACUGGAACGAGACGAGACCGGCGUACUCCCUUCGACUUGUUACAGCGCAGAUGGCGAACGUUCCGGGGCAGUUGGUCUGGGAAAUCGUUAAGAAGAACAGCUCUUUCCUUGUUAAAGAGUUUGGCAGAGGCAAUGCUAGUGUUCAAUUCAGCAAAGAGCCUAAUAACCUCUACAACCUUAACUCCUACAAGCAUUCCGGGUUGGCAAAUCGCAAGACAGUGACCAUUCAGCCAGGAGGCAAGGAUUUGUCAGUAUUGCUCGCGACAACAAAGACGAAGAAGCAGA
rnacentral:misc_RNA from 1 species